CCUACGGGAGGCAGCAGUGAGGAAUAUUGGGCAAUGGGGGCAACCCUGACCCAGCCAUGCCGCGUGAGUGAAGAAGGUCUUCGGAUUGUAAAGCUCUUUCGGACGUGACGAUGAUGACGGUAGCGUCUAAAGAAGCACCGGCAAACUUCGUGCCAGCAGCCGCGGUAAUACGAAGGGUGCGAGCGUUAAUCGGAAUUACUGGGCGUAAAGCGCUCGUAGGCGGUAUGUCAAGUCAAGGGUGAAAUCCCCGCGCUCAACGUGGGAACUGCCUUUGAAACUGGCAAACUGGAGUGUGUGAGAGGAUAGUGGAAUUCCAGGUGUAGGAGUGAAAUCCGUAGAUAUCUGGAGGAACAUCAGUGGCGAAGGCGACUAUCUGGCACAUAACUGACGCUGAGGAGCGAAAGCGUGGGUAGCAAACAGGAUUAGAUACCCUUGUAGUC
rnacentral:rRNA from 1 species